AGAGUUUGAUCCUGGCUCAGGACGAACGCUGGCGGCGUGCGUAAUACAUGCAAGUCGAGCGGACCGAUUGAAAGCUUGCUUUCAUGAGGUCAGCGGCGGACGGGUGAGUAACACGUGGGUAACCUGCCCUAUAGACCGGGAUAACUCGCGGAAACACGAGCUAAUACCGGAUAACACCCCGGAGCGCAUGCUCCGGGGUUGAAAGGCGGCUUUGCUGCCACUAUGGGAUGGGCCCGCGGCGCAUUAGCUAGUUGGUGGGGUAACGGCCUACCAAGGCGACGAUGCGUAGCCGACCUGAGAGGGUGAUCGGCCACACUGGGACUGAGACACGGCCCAGACUCCUACGGGAGGCAGCAGUAGGGAAUCUUCCACAAUGGGCGAAAGCCUGAUGGAGCAACGCCGCGUGAGCGAAGAAGGUCUUCGGAUCGUAAAGCUCUGUUGUAAGGGAAGAACAAGUGCAGCAGUAACUGGCUGCACCCUGACGGUACCUUACGAGAAAGCCACGGCUAACUACGUGCCAGCAGCCGCGGUAAUACGUAGGUGGCGAGCGUUGUCCGGAAUUAUUGGGCGUAAAGCGCGCGCAGGCGGUCUCUUAAGUCUGAUGUGAAAGCCCCCGGCUCAACCGGGGAGGGUCAUUGGAAACUGGGAGACUUGAGUGCAGGAGAGGGAAGCGGAAUUCCAUGUGUAGCGGUGAAAUGCGUAGAGAUAUGGAGGAACACCAGUGGCGAAGGCGGCUUCCUGGCCUGUAACUGACGCUGAGGCGCGAAAGCGUGGGGAGCAAACAGGAUUAGAUACCCUGGUAGUCCACGCCGUAAACGAUGAGUGCUAGGUGUUAGGGGGCUUGCCCCUUAGUGCUGCAGCUAACGCAUUAAGCACUCCGCCUGGGGAGUACGGCCGCAAGGCUGAAACUCAAAGGAAUUGACGG
rnacentral:rRNA from 1 species